rnacentral:lncRNA from 1 species
UCGCCCGGAUCUAGCCAUUUGGACUAAAAUGAGCAAAGCUGUCAAGUUUAGUGAGUCAUUUGAGGAGUUUUCAAAUUAAUGGAUGAAACUGAACAUCGCUACCAAGUUCAUGUACCCACAGUGCAAUUUCCUCACUACCGAAGGGAAACCAUCCCUCUGAACUCGAAUCAAUCCCCAACAACUGAGUGACAUGGAUUGUGAUCCACCUUUUUAGAUUUUUUUUUUAUCCUUCUUUCUUGCCUUGCAAAAACUGAUUCAAUCCGUAUAAGCUGUGCCCGAUGGAUUGCCUCGAUUGAUCCAUCAAAGUUAUUACAAUUUCCAAUAAACAAAGCUUUUAUUAGUGGUUUGAAUGUUUGUAGCCGUACAGUCGAUCUUCAUCUUAGUUGAUCUCUACGUAAUCCACUGUAUGUUCUCAAUUUAUCAAUCUCCAGCCUCUCUCUCAUCUCUAUACCUUCCUCCUGAACUGAUCCCGGGAUACCUUUCUGGAUUAUCUCUCUCCGUCAAAGCCUCUCUCUUCUUGAAAAAAAAACCCUCUCUUUCGAUCAUGCGUGUCGAUUAAAUAACGGUACUUAUGCAUUGUCUUUUGUUCAACGCCAGCUGCGGAUCGACAACAACUAAGGCUGCAAGCAAAUUAAUUCGAUCUUGUCCAAAUUUGAAGGACCUGUUAGGGUGAUCUCCACAGUAUGGGCCCAACGGCCCACCGGCCCCUAUAUCUAACGCGUCCAGAUCGGGGGCGCCCAACUCACUAUGGUUGGCGGGCUCCUGUCGUGCUGCGCAAUGUA